UCCCUGGUGGUCCAGUGGUUAGGAUUCUGGGUUUUCAGUACUUGGGGCCCAGGUUCAAUCCCUGGUCGGGGAA
rnacentral:tRNA from 1 species